rnacentral:rRNA from 1 species
UACCAGCACCCCGAGUGGUCGGGACGAUUAUUGGGCCUAAAGCAUCCGUAGCCGGCCUUACAAGUCCCCCGUUAAAUCCACCUGCUUAACAGAUGGGCUGCGGAAGAUACUAUAGAGCUAGGAGGCGGGAGAGGCAAGCGGUACUCGAUGGGUAGGGGUAAAAUCCGUUGAUCCAUUGAAGACCACCAGUGGCGAAGGCGGCUUGCCAGAACGCGCUCGACGGUGAGGGAUGAAAGCUGGGGGAGCAAACAGG